rnacentral:lncRNA from 1 species
UUAGCAUGAAUGGUCGAGGUUGAGAGUUUAGCAUGAAUGGUCAAGUCAAGAGUUUAGCAUGAAUGGUCGAGGUCAAGAGUUUAGCAUGAAUGGUCGAGGUCAAGAGUUUAGCAUGAAUGGUCGAGGUCAAGAGUUUAGCAUGAAUGGUGAGGUCAAGAGUUUAGCAUGAAUGGUCAAGGUUGAGAGUUUAGCAUGAAUGGUGAGGUCAAGAGUUUAGCAUGAAUGGUCAAGGUCAAGAGUUUAGCAUGAAUGGUCGUCAAGAGUUUAGCAUGAAUGGUCGAGGUUGAGAGUUUAGCAUGAAUGGUCGAAGUCAAGAGUUUAGCAUGAAUGGUCGAGGUCAAGAGUAUAGCAUGAAUGGUCGAGGUCAAGAGUUUAGCAUGAAUGGUCGAAGUCAAGAGUUUAGCAUGAAUGGUCGAGGUCAAGAGUUUAGCAUGAAUGGUCAAGGAUGAGAGUUUAGCAUGAAUGGACAAGGUUGAGAGUUUAGCAUGAAUGGUCAAGGUUGAGAGUUUAGCAUGAAUGGUCGAGGUCAAGAGUUUAGCAUGAAUGGUCAAGGUUGAGAGUUUAGCAUGAAUGGUCGAAGUCAAGAGUUUAGCAUGAAUGGUCGAGGUCAAGAGUUUAGCAUGAAUGGUCGAGGUCAAGAGUUUAGCAUGAAUGGUCAAGGUCAAGAGUUUAGCAUGAAUGGUCGAAGUCAAGAGUUUAGCAUGAAUGGUCGAGGUUGAGAGUUUAGCAUGAAUGGUCAAGGUUGAGAGUUUAGCAUGAAUGGUCGAGGUUGAGAGUUUAGCAUGAAUGGUCAAGUUUGAGAGUUUAGCAUGAAUGGUUGAGGUCAAGAACAUUGCGACUGAAAAACAAAAGAAACGGGAGUAAAACCGUGACAAAAACCUAAUUAUUAGAUAGUAAUAUUAUACACAUCAUGGCAGCAGUCAUAUAAAUGUUAUUGUCGAGAUUAUAUAACAUAAGGGAAAAGUUCAGUGAUGUGCUGUUUUACUAAGGUUGGGGGAGCAAUAAGCGAGAUACAGUACUACAGGGGUAACAGUCGGACAGUUUACGCCGUGCAAUAAAUCAAUUAAUUCUUCAUCUCGUGACUUCAGAAUGUCUCACUUUACUCAUUAUUUCCUCUUGCCAUAUUCAGUACAAAACCUUCGACUGAUCGGAAGUUAUAUAUUUGUCACAGAAAUACGUUUGUUUCUUUAAGGAAAUUUAUUUAUGUUUUUUACUUUGUUAAAAUGUUUAUAUUGUAUUAUUAAAGAGAUUUAUUUGAUUUUGUUUUAAUUUUAUGAUUUUGUGAUAUAGUUUUGGAGCAUUUAUUAGUUAUUGUAUUUUUUUAGUAGUUAUUUCUUCCCGGGAGUCAUUUACCUGAUGUCUUAUGUGUGUUGGGAGUCUUAGUAUUUUUUUAAUACAGGAUUUAUUAUUAAUUUUAGUGAUAAAUAAGAUCAAAGGAAUAUUUAUGAAUUGGAGUAAAUAUUUGUGUUUGUUUCUUUAUAGUUCAUGUGAAGUGAGUUGUAUUUUUGUUUUAUUUUUAUUAUAUAUGUUUGUGUACUUUAUUGAAUAAGUUUUUUAUCUGUUCUAAAAUGUGAUAAGAUGCUCACGAACAAGUUUAACUGAGAUAGAUGCACUUGUUAAUAAAACCUGUAUUUGAUUAUUAUUUUAGUUGGCUUACUAAAGGCUGCUAAGGUUUGAUGGUAAAAUUGAAUAAGAAAAUUUGGUACAGUAUUAUAACGGAGAUGAUGAAUCACUUAUCCAAUGAUUAUUGCAUUGCAAUUACAUAUUUGCUUUAUUAAAAAUUAUUAAUAAAAUAUAAGCUUGAAA